rnacentral:rRNA from 1 species
AAUGAACGCUGGCGGCAUGCCUAACACAUGCAAGUCGAGCGAGACCUUCGGGUCUUGUCGCGCACGGGUGCGUAACGGGUGGGAUCCUGCCCUUAGGUUUGGCAUAACUCUCCGAAUGGGGUGCUAAUACCGGAUCAGGUCUUCUGACCAAUGAUUUAUCGACCUAGGAGGGUCCCGCGUUGGAUUAGCUUGUUGUUAGGGUAAAAGCUUACUAAGGCGACGAUCCAUAGCUGGUUAGAGAGGCUGAUCAGCCACACUGGGACUAGGAGACGGCCGAGAAUCCUACGGGAGGGGGCAGUGGCGAAUAUUGGAAAGUGGGCGGAAGCCUGAAGCUGCAAUGCCGCGUGAGCGAUGAAAGCCUGAGGGUAGUAAAGCUCUUUUACCCAGGAUGAUAAUGACAGUACCGAGAGAAUAAGCUCCGGCUAACUCCGUG